UUUCACAUCGUUUUGAGUAUUAUUUUGCCUCGUUAUCACAAAUAUCAUACAAUAAAAAAAAACAGGUAGUGUACAGCACGGCAUGUAGAUUUCUUUCCUUUCCUUUUCCUCUCCCUUGCUUUCAUUUUCUUUUUUAUAAAAACAAAAAAAAAAAAACUCAGCUCGCUUGUUUAUUUUUUGCGCGUCGUAUGAUAUCCAGCGCGCUCUGGGCGACGAUGUCGGCCGCGUUCUGAUGGAGCUCUUUGUCCUCGUCUUCUUCUGCUUCUCCUUUCCAGGAACCUGUUCAUUUUGUUUUCUCCACACGUUAGAAGCGUUGGGUCAGGGUUGAGGUUGAGAUGGGGGUGGGGGGUAAAAUGGGUUGGAAGAGCUAAAUAUAAUAUGUAUAUAUAUAUAUAUAUAUACUAUAUCUUACAACCCACCUUCAAAUUGAUGCAGGACAAAGGCCAUCGGAUGGCCGGCGUCCUGGGCGCCCAUCUGGCCGACGCCGGGGCUGAAGCUCGUGAUGGGCAGGACGACGACGUCGCCCACCUUGCGCUGCACGGUGAUGCCGGCAAAGUCCUUGGAGGUCAGGUUCCUGCCGUGCGGCGGGCGCGCGGCCUCGAAGUACUCGGGGUCGUUGAGGUAGCGGAAGACGCAGUCGGUCCAGACGGCGGGGCCGGUGAACUCGACGAUGGACUUGUCCAUGAUGCCCGGGAGCAGGAUGCCGGCGCUCUUCAUGCGCAGGGCGUCCUCAGUGAUGGUGGCGACGAUGUCGCGCAGCACCGGGUGGCCCGGCUUGGCCUGGAUGGUCCACUGGCAGAACUGCAGCUUGCGCGAGUACCACAGGUACCAGUCCUCGCGGUCGUGUGCGUCGGCCUCGAUGCCGACGAUCAGGCCGAUGGCGGAGCGGUCGACGUGGGGGGGGAGCCACUCGAUGGUGGGCUUUAGGGCGUAGGUGUCGAUGUCGGUGUAGAUGCCGCCACGGGCGAGGAGGAUGAGGUAGCGGAAGAAGUCGGCCCUGAGGACGGGUAAGGGGAGGGAGCGGUAGGCGUCGAGGAUUUCAGGGAAGGGGGCGUAGAGGUAUCUCAGCAGGGGGUCGGAAUCGUCGUCGGUGAUGACCUCGUGGACGAAGGACGGGUGCAGCUCCGUCCAGCUGGCCUCCAUGGGGCGGAACUUGUCGCCGAACUUACCGGAGGCGGGGGUGUAUUUCCAGGUCUGCCAGAUGUAGGCGGGGAAUUUGGCGUGGACGUCAUAGGGGAAUUGGUAGCGGAGUCGUUCGCGGAGGGGCUUGCGGGCAAGAUCCUCGGGGGACAGCGAGGCUGCUGCGGAUGUGGGAGGGAGCGAUUCGUUGUGGGUAGAGGGCGGCGACUCGGAGGACGCAGCAACGGACUUCUGUGCAUCUUUACGAAUGGGAAGUGGGCGUGGGUGGCAAAGACGGAAGCAGGAGUGGGAGCGGGAGGAGAGGAGGAAGUAGAAGCUGGCGAGGAGGAGGAGAGUCGCCGCAACGGAACGGCGGAAGGUAAUCAUGGUGGCAGCUGGAGUAGGCCGGGGGCGGAGCGGGGAGGAGCGGGCAUGGCAGUCGAGCGGGAGGAGCGUGUUUUGGGGGGAAGAAGAGGAGUCGACAGCGGGGUAAUAUGGGUAAUAUGGGUAAUAUGGGUAUUAUGGGUAACACUGGGUAACACGGGGUAACACCGUGGAUGUCAAACACGGGCUGAGGGAGAACCGUGGAAGGCUCCGCGUGAACCGGGAACGGGGACGAAGUUUAAGCAGCAACAGCAACAGCAACAAAACGCCCUCCCAAGCCCGGUAGAUCACCGACGCAUGACGGUGGGAUGAGGAGACGAGGAGAUAGAGAGACAGAGACAGACCUUUGCUGAGCAGUGUGUUGUGUAAAAGAAGAGAGAGGAGAAGAGGGAAAAGAAAGAAACAACAGAGAGAGAACCUUGGAAACAAAAAAAGGGAUCGAUCUGUGUGGACAGCAACACCCAUUGAAGUGACUAACUGAUUGGGAUCUUCGUCGUGUUUCCGGUACGUGUACAGAUUACUCCGUAAGUAAACCUGCAUAGAGGUAUGGAUUGUGGGAAGAGAAGAUCGAAAGCUGCCGCAGACUGCCAAUCCACGGCCAAAUCACAGCCAAUCACAGCCCUCCACCGCCCUCCACCGCCCCCAUGACAGCUGCAGCUCCCGGGCGAUCCCUGCCCAGACGGGGCCCGCGGUGGGGCGGCCUAGGCUUGUUGCGGCAUAGCGGGCAUCUGAAACAGCCCCGAGACGAUCUGCGCUGCUGUGACUGGCUGGCCGGGGAUGGGUGCGAGGUGGGUGAUGUCAUUGUCGGUAUUCGCAGGAGGUAUCGUUGUAUGUAUGUACGGAGUAUGUACUCUGUAUGUAUGUAUGUCACUAUGCUCCAGUCCUCGUAUCCGCUCGUCUGGCCGCGAGGCACAAUUAGCACAGUUUUUUUAGCGUGUAUGUUGGUGUAUUAAAAACACAAAAUCUACUGGAUUAUAUGAG
rnacentral:sRNA from 1 species